rnacentral:rRNA from 1 species
GACGAACGCUGGCGGCGUGCUUAACACAUGCAAGUCGAACGAUGAAGCCGGAGCUUGCUCCGGUGAAUUAGUGGCGAACGGGUGAGUAACACGUGAGUAACCUGCCCUUGACUCUGGGAUAACUGCUAGAAAUGGUAGCUAAUACCGGAUACGACCCUCGGAGGCAUCUCCAGGGGGUGGAAAGAAUUUCGGUCAAGGAUGGACUCGCGGCCUAUCAGCUAGUUGGUGAGGUAACGGCUCACCAAGGCGACGACGGGUAGCCGGCCUGAGAGGGUGACCGGCCACCCUGGGACUGAGACACGGCCCAGACUCCUACGGGAGGCAGCAGUGGGGAAUAUUGCACAAUGGGCGCAAGCCUGAAGCAGCAACGCCGCGUGAGGGAUGACGGCCUUCGGGUUGUAAACCUCUUUUAGUAGGGAAGAAGCGAAAGUGACGGUACCUGCAGAAAAAGCACCGGCUAACUACGUGCCAGCCGCCGCGGUAA